ACAAGAGAAAAGUAAUAAAUCAUCGAUACUGGACUAUCAGUAGCUAAUAGUCGAAUAUAUAUCACGUGGUGUAAAUAAUUAAUCCGAUAGCGCACCAGGCAAAAUUCAAGAAAAUUACAAAAGAAAAAGAAAAUGAAUCAUAUGGAAAAGAGGGUGCAGCAUGCCAAUGAACAUACUCUGGAUCUGUAGCUGGAGUGGCAAGUCAAAUAUCAGAUCAACAACACCAUGGUAUUGGCAGCGUAUCAAAAACAGUGUUGGAUUAUAGGGAUGAAAGGUCUAUAUUUACAUCAAUGGCUUCUAACAAGGAACAUCUAAUCUUUCUUGGUUUAAUAUUGUCCAUCGCACGCCUCUGAGAUAAUGUUUGAUUCUUU
rnacentral:lncRNA from 1 species